rnacentral:rRNA from 1 species
AUUGAACGCUGGCGGCACGCUUAACACAUGCAAGUCGAACGGCAGCGCGACCUAGUUUACUAGGUUGGCGGCGAGUGGCGGACGGGUGAGUAAUGCGUAGGUAUCUGCCUCAUAGUUUUGGAUAACACGGGGAAACUCGUGCUAAUACGGGAUACGCUCUACGGAGGAAAGGCUGCUUAGGCAGUUGCUAUGAGAUGAGCCUGCGUUGGAUUAGCUAGUUGGUGAGGUAACGGCUCACCGAGGCGAUGAUCCAUAGCUGUUCUGAGAGGAAGAUCAGCCACACUGGGACUGAGACACGGCCCAGACUCCUACGGGAGGCAGCAGUGGGGAAUAUUGGACAAUGGGGGAAACCCUGAUCCAGCGAUGCCGCGUGUGUGAAGAAGGCCUGCGGGUUGUAAAGCACUUUAGUUGGUGAGGAAGUGUGUAUGGUUAAGAGCUGUAUACGUUGACGUUAGCCAAAGGAUAAGCACCGGCAAACUCUGUGCCAGCCGCCGCCGUAACA